rnacentral:rRNA from 1 species
UAAGGAAUAUUGGUCAAUGGGCGGAAGCCUGAACCAGCCAUGCCGCGUGCAGGAAGACGGCCUUAUGGGUUGUAAACUGCUUUUGUCAGGGAAUAAACCCUCGUUCGUGAACGAGGCUGAAGGUACCUGAAGAAUAAGCAUCGGCUAACUCCGUGCCAGCAGCCGCGGUAAUACGGAGGAUGCGAGCGUUAUCCGGAUUCAUUGGGUUUAAAGGGUGCGCAGGCGGGCGUAUAAGUCAGGGGUGAAAUGCCACGGCUCAACCGCGGAACUGCCUUUGAUACUGUAUGUCUUGAGUUUAGUUGAAGUGGGCGGAAUGUAGCAUGUAGCGGUGAAAUGCAUAGAGAUGCUACAGAACACCGAUAGCGAAGGCAGCUCACUAAGUAAACUAGACGCUCAUGCA